ACCAACUGGGCGGCCGCCUAGGGUCUGGCCCCGUUUCGCCUCCGCUUCAGUCUCGUGGCUUCUGGAGUCUUCUAGAUGUAAGAUAAUUGCGCAGCACGUUAAUAUCUUUACGUAAUCCUGACAUGUGGGCCUUUCUUCCAUAUUUCCUGAUAACCCCCUGCAGAAAUAGAUAAACACCAAAACUCGUGGAAUUCUGUCAGAUAAAACCCUAAGUCUAGAUCUUGAUUUCAUUUGGAUCCUUUUCUUUAUUUAUUUGAUAAUUAAAUUUGAUACUUAAGGACCAUCAACAAUCUAAAGUUUAAGUCGUUAACGGAUAUGAUAUGGGAAGGUUGAGCUGCUAUUUAUCUGUUCGUAGAGAUGAUAGAAUUCUGGAGAAUUUUAUCUUUGAAAAUCUUUAAAAUGUUGCAUGAUGAGUUCCUGUAUGAUGAGAGUUUAAAUUCCUACCACAGCCAUACAUACAUGCUUAUUAGACUAUGAACCAUACAUUUACCUUUUACUGCUUAUGAGCAUUGAGUAUGGUCAAGCUGUGUAGACCCUUAGGAACUUGUCAUGCGGUUAAAAUCAAGAUUCACUUGCAAGUUCACUCAUACAUGCUGCUUCUAUUCCAGAAGUACGCAUCCACAUACAUCCAUUCAUUUCCAUCUCUAGAUUCACCCAAAAUUAUUCUACUCCUAUCCAGGAGAGAAUAGCUAAAAACAUUAUCCUAUCCCUGUUAUUCCGCGUGAAAUAAAUGCUCUGAAAAAAGAGUGAAUACGAGGAAAUAAAAAGGGGCAAGUGCCCGAAACCUUGAAGAAAAGAAAAAGUGAGACGAGAGGUAAAAAUGGACAAGUGUCCGACAGUAGAAUUAGGGGUACAAGAUACCCACCUGAGAGAUAAGAAAAAAAAAGAAAAUAUAGAGCAUCUCAUUCCCUUCAAAAAGCUUCAAAGUGCAAGAAAGGUAUGUAUCCCCUCAAAAGAGCAAAAGUAGAAUUAGAAUUUCACCAAUGUUUUCACCAUUAUCACCAUCAUCACCAUACACCAUUCAUUCACCACACAUGCACAUCUUGAUUUGACUUAUUGACUUGUUUCUCUAGAUCCAUGGUUUGACUAUGCAAUAAAUGUCUUAUAAGUAUGUAUUAGCUGUCUCCCACCUAUGAGCUCCAGAUAUCAAACCUUAUUAGAGUAGGGUGAGAGAGAAGGCAAUAUCACUAUGCCUCAUACCACAAAUACUACAUACUUUGAGAGAAGGCGUAUAUCAUCACUGCCUUGGUAAGGAUCCAGAAAUACCACAAAAGAGAGAUUUGAUAGAGUCAUACAAGGAAUCUCUGAGUUUUGUUUUGAAAAUCUACAAAAAGUCGAGAGCUAUAGUUGAUCAAAGAACAAGAGACAUGGUGCUUGACUUGACCGUUCUAUCUUUUAACUGCUCAAGACACAAGUGACGGUUGCAAGCCCCAUGUUGGAAGGUAAUAUGAGUAAUUUUAAAUCUUAACAGUUUAUCGUAACCCAGAGAUUAGAUUUUGUUUGAACGCAUGUGUACCUUUAAGGCAUAAAACCACUGAAGAAACUCUUGAGUCCAUCUUUGCUCAGGGACGAGCAAGAGGUAAGCUUGGGGGAGUUGUUGACGGUCCUUAAGUACUAAAUAUAACCAUGAAAUAAAUAAAGAAAAGGAUCCAAAUGCAACCAACACCC
rnacentral:lncRNA from 1 species